UUUUAACUUCAAUUAAUCCCGUGCAAUUUCCACUACACGAACCGUAUUGCGACUUAACACUAAUCAAAAUCACGCAUACGAAGAUCAAUUACUAACAUAUAGAGAAAUUCACUUUAGCAAAUUAUAAUAAAACCAAGGAAUUAUUCUCUUAGAUAAGCUAGUAGUAACCAAACUUAUUGCGCAUACUUCUUUCAGCAUGUGACGAGUGGUUAGUACCUGUCUGAGAUAACAUUCACCGUGACAUGGUGAUUCACGAUUACUAGUAAUUCCUUAUUCAUGUAGUCGAAUUUCAGACUACAAUUCUUAUUUUAACCUGUUUUCAGGGAUUAGCUAAAUAUUCACAUUAUAGCACCCCUUUGUCAAGGUAAAUGUGGCACGUCUAUAGCCCACAAUAAAAGGGUCAUGAUGACUUGUCUUGGUCCCGAUUAUCUUCCAUUAUAGCGGAGAAACUAUUUUAUAUAUACAAAAUAAAAUAUAGGUUACACGUUGAUUCUUUGGAGCUAACCUGCAUCUCACGACAUCAACUGAAGACAGCCAUGCAACACCUGUAUUAUAACACUUUCAUCAUUAAAAAAAUAAUAACAUACCAAAGGGUGAAAUAAUAUACAAAUUGUGGUAAGAUUUUUCGUGGAUCAUCGAAUUAAACAACAUACUUCACUACUGGUAUCAGAAACGGUCUAAUGAUUUUAGUUCCUACGUUGCCGUACUACUCUUAAGGUGGAGUGAUUACACUUUCAUUUAUAGACUAAUAAUUCUAACCUAUGACACUCAUCAGUCUCUGCUUGGACUAUUAGGGUAUCUAAUCCUGUUUGUUACCCAAGCCUUCGUCCCUCAACGUCAGUUUUUACAUAAAGGUUUGCCUUCGCCAUUAUCAGUGCCCUACAGUAUAAAAGAAUUUCAUCUCUACUCCGAUAGUACUAAAUUCCUCUUACAUAAAACUCUAGCAAAAUUGUUGCAAUCUAUGAAGGUCUCAAAAAUUGCAAUCAGCCCGAUCUACGGGAGCUACAUUUGCUGUCUAGGUACCCUUUAAACCUAUUAAAGAUGAAUAACACUAGUCUGCCCCGUGUUCCCGCGACUGCUGGCACGUGUUUUGGUCAAGACUUUUAUAUAGAAAAUAGUCAUUAUCCGUAUUCUAUAUAGAAUUUUAUGCGAUUCCAUUCACCCGAAUUGCUGGUUCAGCCCUUAGGCCAUUGACCAAAAUCCCUCACUGCUGCACUAUUCGUUUUGGGGUUUUUUCAGACCCAAUGUGGUCGAUCAACCUUUCAGUUUCGACUACGGGAUUUACGCUAGUUAAAACAUUACCUUUACUAUUACUUUCCCGGGAUAUUAGCAACUUAAAGCGAAAUUAAAUAUUUCUUUUUCGUUAAUACGAUUUAUAAGGGAUUUGAAUCCCUUACUCCAAGGUAGCAUCAUAUCACAUACUCACCUGUUCACCACUACAAAUUAUUACAUUAGUAAAUAUUUGUCGUACGAUUAGCAUGUGUCAAGCAUUCGGACAGCGUUCAAUCAGAGCCAUCAUCAAACUCAAUAU
rnacentral:rRNA from 1 species